GACGAGCUAUUUGAUGGAUUCAGAUAUGGAUAACCGUAGUAAUUCUAGAGCUAAUACAUGCUUGAAAGCCUGACUUACGAAGGGCUGCAUUUAUUAGAUAAAGCCAGCAUUUAGGUGAUUCAUAAUAAUUUAGCGAAUCGCGGAUUUUCUGCGAUAUAUCAUUCAAGUAUCUGCCCUAUCAGCUCUGAUGGUAGUGUAUUGGACUACCAUGGCUUUUACGGGUAACGGAGAAUUAGGGUUCGGUUCCGGAGAAAGAGCCUGAGAAACGGCUAUUACAUCUAAGGACGGCAGCAGGGGCGUAAAUUACCCAAUCUUAAUUUAAGGAGGUAGUGACAAGAAAUAUCGACAUUGGAGCAAUCCAAGAUCGGAAUGGGCUUAAUUUAAAUCCCUAAGUGAGUAACCAUUGGAGGGCAAGUCUGGUGCCAGCAGCCGCGGUAAUUCCAGCUCCAAUAGCGUAUAUUAAAGUUGUUGCAGUUAAAAAGCUCGUAGUUGGAACUCUGGAGUGCCGGCUUUGGACUAUCGUCCAAGGUUUGGUAUUUCCAUCCUUCUGUUAACUCAAGUUACCGCAAGGUCGCUUGGGGGCUCAGAUAUUUUACCUUGAGAAAAUUAGAGUGUUUCAGGCAGGCAAGGCCAGAAUACUACAGCAUGGAAUAAUAGAAUUGACGCAACUCUGUGGUUGGCCAGAGAAGUGUAAUGAUUAAUAGGAACAGUUGGGGGCAUUAGUAUUUAAUUGUCAGAGGUGAAAUUCUUGGAUUUGUUAAAGACUAACUAAAGCGAAAGCAUUUGCCAAGGAUGUUUUCAUUAAUCAAGAACGAAAGUUAGGGGAUCAAAGACGAUCAGAUACCGUCGUAGUCUUAACCAUAAACGAUGCCGACUAGAGAUCGGAGGAGAUUAUCGAGCUCCUUCGGGAUCAUAGGAGAAAUCAAAGUCUUUGGGUCUGGGGGGAGUAUGGUCGCAAGGCUGAACUUGCAGGAUUUGACGGAAGGGCACCACAGGAGUGGAGCCUGCGGCUUAAUCUGACUCACACGGAGAAAUUUACCAGGGUCAGACAUUGCGCAAGAUUGACAGAUUGAAUAGCUCUUUCUUGAUUCUAUGCGCGUGUGGUGCAUGACCGUUCUAACUGGCGGCAUGGCAGUAGUCUGUGUAAUUCCGUAAUUCACACGAACUUUAACCUCAACACCACUCCUUUACAGAU
rnacentral:rRNA from 1 species